CGCUUUUUUUUGUUGUUGUUGCAUGUCACCGGCUCAGAGAAACCAAGUGAAUAAGAAGAUUGUUUCAUUACCUCCACAAGAGGUGGAAUGAAAGCAGUUCCCAUCAGCUCAAGAUGAGAUGGAUUAAGGGAAAGGAGCUGCAAAGCAGAUCUCGACUUUCGUGGGAAGCUGUCUGUGGUAAAGAACCAGCAAGUACUUUUUUACUCGGUUUCUACUCUGAGUUUCCCCACGGUGGAUGCAAAUAUGGUUUGCAGUGGC
rnacentral:lncRNA from 1 species